UCCUGUAAGGAAAGUCCCGCUAUCCAACUUACUUCCAUCAAUGACUGCCGUCUUGUACUGAUGUUUUUUGGGGGGGGUUCUAGAAUUUUAAAGCUCGAACUCUUUUCUUUAUCUUUAUUUGGUGUACCUACUUGAGCCGGAUGAAAGGAAACUUUAUAUGAUACUUUAUAUAAUACGCCAUAUAUUAGUUGUUGAAAACGGCUCCUCUUCUUCUACGUACUCGAAGACAAGAGCAGCAGCUCCACCUACUACAUAUAGUAGUUCCUUUGUGGAUCGGAACUAAUAUAUGGAGAGGUGAAGACUCACUAGGCCUUCUGUUCUCUUUCAACAACUAAUAUAUGGCGUAGGUUGGCCGACGAAUGUGUGGAGCCUGAUAGCUCACUCAAGUGUGGGUGGACUCGAUUUAUUCCGGUUUGAAGCAAUCCCUCUUUCUCAUGCUUCACCAUAUGGAUUACCUCUCUUUCGGUUUCCGGUAGCAAGUAAUCAGGUAUGUGUAAAGCAAAUCCGUCCUGGUAGGCGCAGGAGAUCUAUUUAAUACUGAUUUCGUACGGAUUGCGAUUGCACAGAGGCUUAGCUCAAAGGAAAGUACUUGCAGAUAGUCCCUAGCGCAUAAGUAGAGUCUUUGGGUUCUAAAGGGAAGAGAAGGCCACCAAUGUCACUGAAGCUACUGGGGAUCUAUACUAAUCCAAUGCCACAACAUCAAGGGGGACAAGUCACCACUCAGGGACCUAGGAAGCAGAACCAAGUCAAGAUGAUACGGAUCAACCCCUUCUUCUUGCGCCAAAGAUCUUACCAUUUCCGAAGGAACUGAAUGAUUCGUUAGGAAUCCGUGUAAAUUAAAUGGAAAUUCUCACUAAAUAAUCUAAGUAAGAUCCAGGUAUUGCACCCCGGUUUGAUUGACUCUGCUAGGCUUGCUACGGCUUGACCGACCCUUUAGGGUAAAAGAAUGAAGAGUAGCUAAAUGAAAGAAGUGAAGCAAUGCGCAGCGAAGGGGAUCCCCAUACGUGNNNNNNNNNNNNNNNNNNNNNNNNNNNNNNNNNNNNNNNNNNNNNNNNNNNNNNNNNNNNNNNNNNNNNNNNNNNNNNNNNNNNNNNNNNNNNNNNNNNNAAUCAGGUAUGUGUAAAGCAAAUCCGUCCUGGUAGGCGCAGGAGAUCUAUUUAAUACUGAUUUCGUACGGAUUGCGAUUGCACAGAGGCUUAGCUCAAAGGAAAGUACUUGCAGAUAGUCCCUAGCGCAUAAGUAGAGUCUUUGGGUUCUAAAGGGAAGAGAAGAGAACUAUUUAAUAAAAGUUAAGCUCUUAACUGCUUACCAGUACUGCUACUACCAAUUUGCUUAAGACUGCUAUGUUUGACUUAACCAUUACUGAAUUCCUUUAAGGAAUUCAGGAAAGUCAAUAGAUGUCCAAAACCUAGAGAAAGGAAAAGCAGACUAUAACGCGGAGGGUAUAUACUCAAGCUAAAAGAAGAAGAGAGAAGGUAGACUAGACAUUCUCAAUAGCCUUGUCCUAGACAUAAUCUCUAGCCGGAUCUCCCUUAUCUCAGAUCUGGGGACUGAACAUAAUCUUUAGCCGUCUCUACAACUAUAUCUCUAGCCGGAGCAACCACUGGAAGGAAGCCUUCCGACCCGGACCGGAAUAGGCCUCUUCCGCUGGUUCGGAUUGGGAAAGAGCAGCCCGCAACUCUGGUUCUUAGGAAUGAUUCAUCCCUAUGCUAUGUAUGAUUCAUCGGAUUAUUCUUAUGCGUCUUCGGUGGGUGAUUUAACGUAUUCGGCGUCUGAAACAAUGUACUCGCAUUCUUACUUAUCUAUUCCCAUCCACCACCCUUCUCGGGAUUUGAGAAACUACUCAACCAGGAAAAAGAAAGCUGCUACUGGAAAACAACUCCCUCCGCCCUUGUUCUGGUUCUAUACCAGACAACACCCCUUGCCGCUUUCCCAACCAGAAUAGAAUGCAGCUCGAUCCGGCUGAAAACCUUGAAUCUUAUACUAAUGCCUUUGUUGGUUGGGCCUUUGCCUUUGAUGCCUCACCACUUUCAGAUUGAUUAAAGUGCUAGUUUUCUUACAAUGUCGAUCGGGAAAGAUAGAGCAUCUUUUCCCCGGCCCGGGUAAGAGUAAGAAGUAAGGCCUGUGUCUAUGUCUAUCCAUCUUAUAAUCCGAAUCCAAGCUAUACCUCCUAGCCCGGUGAAAAGUGCUAAAUCCGUGUAAUGAGAGAAGGCUCUUUCUUUUCUACUCGUUGUAGAGUAUGUCAUUACUGGUCUUUCUUUGGCUUUAGCUAUUCAGGAAGAUUUCCCCCAAGUUUCUAAUUUGCUAUUUUACUAGAUCGAGAUGCUUAGUAACUCGAAAGAUAGGACUUUAUCUCUUCUACUUCGUCUAAAGCCUGUGCUGACUGUGUCGCUACUGCAAGGGAGAAAUGCUCAGAAUCUAGUGACAAUAUGGGAGUUGUUCCUUUUGUAUACCUUCGGGUAUAAAGGUAAGAUCUCUCACGUGUCACNNNNNNNNNNNNNNNNNNNNNNNNNNNNNNNNNNNNNNNNNNNNNNNNNNNNNNNNNNNNNNNNNNNNNNNNNNNNNNNNNNNNNNNNNNNNNNNNNNNNAUAAGGAUAUAUAUGCAUGCGUAUUAAUAAGGAGAUACUUUAUAUGAUACGCCAUAUAUUAGUUAUUGAAAACGGCUCCUCUUCUUCUACGUACUCGAAGACAAGAGCAGCAGCUCCACCUACUACAUAUAGUAGUUCCUUUGUGGAUCGGAUCCAUAUAAACAUUUCACGCUGAGAAUUGCGUAGAACGUGUCACCUCUCUGAGGUCAGAUGUGAACCGAUUAGGGUGCUCACAAGGGUGCGCAUAGGAGUAUCAUGAACUACCCACCACUACCAGAUCCCAAAAAAGGGGGGGCAGCUGCGGCCGAACUCGAAUUCUGGAAAAAGUAGGGGCCCUUUUACCAAGUCUACCAGAUAGAAGAUGAUAGAGGGCCAACUAUCGUUGGGGACGGACGACGUGAGUGAGAACCCAGACCAUAGCUGUUUUAGAGACUUCUCUCUCGGCUUUAACGGCGAUGGUAUUUUUCUCUCUCUUUCUUUCACCCUUCCAUUUAUCCACAUCUUUGUUCUCUAUUUCGCUUUAUAACUUAGAAUUAGAUUGAUUUUUCUUUUGUUUAUGCAAAAAAUAUUUCAGUUGCUACAACGAUAUGACCGAUAUAUCAUAUCUUGACUGGUUCUUUGGAUCCAGAUAAUGUGAAGUGAUGAGUUGGUUAGUAGUCCUAUAGUUAUUAGUUUAUAGUAAGAGGCUAGUCUUUUUUUUUAUUGAAUCCUAACCCUAAAAAAACCAACGAGUCACACACUAAGCAUAGCAAUUAUAUCAAAUGGCUAAUCGAAUUUUUAUUCAACCAUAUAGAAUUAAGAAUUAGAAUUCCGUGAAGGUGAAAUAAGACUUGUGUUAAGCAAGCAGAGUAGUCAAGCCAGAGAGGCCGAUUCGAUCCGAGCUCUCUUAUGGAAUUGCCCAUUCAAUGAGCAUUCUCAAUAUUAUGCCUUGAAGAGGACUCGAACCUCCACGCUGGUUGUUCUGGCCUUGCCAUCGAAAGCACGCCCGUAAGAGAAAGGUAAAGGAAAAAGGAACCAUAUCUUACUGAAGAAUCUGAGCUGGCUCAGGCUUACUUCUAUGGGGUCUGCCUUUCAUUGAAUUGAAUUUCAGUGAGGGUGGUGGGGUAACCUAACCAUACAUGUCCUCCGAUUAUAUCUUCCAAAUCAUCUACACUAACAAUCCAUCCUUCUAAAGUUAUUGAAUUGCUCUGCUCCUAAGCUACUAAGCUAUCUAGGAUCCGAAAUUCUUUUAUAUUAAAUACCUCAAGGGAAGGAAACAGGCAAUAGCGCGAUAGCAAAAAGAAAGCUAAGCGCGCAGAGAGAGCAGAGCAGCAUAUAGCGCGAAAGAGUCCAAAUGCAAGAAAGGCAGAGCGCGAAGCUUGUGGUCCGUUCCUUUCCUGCUCCCUCUUUUUCCAAGAAUUCAUGCGCUUCCCUUUACUCCAUAGGGCCUUCUCUAAUAGGGAAAGCCUUCUCUUCUUUCCUUCUCGUAUAGCUGGAAAACUGAGUCUUUUCUAAAGGCUUUCCCGAUUGAAGUCUUUUGAUAGAAUGAUAGAAAAGAAUAUUCAUUACUUAAAUGAAGCGGUUCUUUCGGGCAUUCAUCGAAAGGAGAUACUUGCUUCGAAUUUGACUAAUUGCGAUAUUUGGAAACAAUAUUUUUUUGAUUAUUUCUUCAUUCGAAGUGGAUUCUUAAUCUAUUUCUGUAUUCUUUCUAGAUUCAAAGAAAAACUGCGAAAUCACAAAUAAAAAAAGUGAAUAGAUUCAUAGGUUCGAUACCUUGUAAUAGAUGAGCUAACUUGGCUUGGUGCAGGAAAUGGAAUCACAGCAAGAAAGAAGGCUAGGAGAGAUAGCAUACUUUCCUUUUUUAGGAUACGAGCCCUCUCCUAGAAUGUUUUUGUAGAUUCACAAAAUUCCAUGGUGGAUCAGGACGAGAAUGAAUCCGGGAAUUUGAUGAAUUACUCUUAAAGGUUCACAGCAAACUAGUACUAGUUGAUGAGAGUUACUUCGGAAACAAAAAGAGUAAAGUCUGGGGUAUUUUCUUAAUUCCAAUAAAACNNNNNNNNNNNNNNNNNNNNNNNNNNNNNNNNNNNNNNNNNNNNNNNNNNNNNNNNNNNNNNNNNNNNNNNNNNNNNNNNNNNNNNNNNNNNNNNNNNNNCCCCUUCUCCCAUGCUGAGUCACCGGCAGCGCCUCGGAAAGCACGGACGAGCCACAUGCAGGGAAACUUGCACGUGUGGUUCUGGCCGGGGACCCCGGUAUACUGUACUAAUAUGUGUAGGUCCCCGUAAUUCGAGUGAGAUUGUCAUGGCGCAAAAGCAGAUAUGGUCCGGUAUUCCCUUGUUCCCUGUAUUGGUUAUGUUCUUUAUUUCUCGUCUAGCAGAAACUAAUCGAGCUCCGUUUGAUCUCCCAGAAGCGGAAGCUGAAUCAGUUGCAGGCUAUAAUGUAGAAUAUGCGCGGGAUGCGAUCCUUAAUAGUUCACUGUUGGCGGAAGCCAAUGUCCCGGGGUCCCGGGGACUCAUUCUGACUGAAACAAGGGGCGGGUCUUUACCAACUUCAAAAUCUUAUAUUUUAGGGAAGCCAAAAAACGUGAGCGCCUAGCGCGAGCCUUAUUGAAAAGGCCCUUUACUAAUAUAAUAGAAGGUAAGGCCGGCUUUCGAGCUGUAGCUUUACAACGAUAGGGCUUAGAUAAGGGCCCUUCAUUAUUGCAAGAGGGGAGGUUCUGCUUGGUGCUCUUCCAGUGGGGCCGUGUGGGCGGAAUCGCCGGGCUCCGGAUCAAGGCGAGACUUUAGUUUUCAAUAAGGGGCAACAAGCAACGGAUUGAGCUGCGCGAAAGCCGUUGCUCUAAUGCCUCGUUACGUAUACUGAACUCGCUCGUUAGCGCUUGACCAGAAUGAAUGUACUAAACCAUCCAUACUCGAAGAAAGGGCUACUCCCCCUUAAUGGACUAACGAGGACGCGGAAAAGCAUCUUUAUAUAGAAUCGCCAUCCCCGGUCUCACCUGCGGUAACAACCUCAAAGGCGGCGAAUCCUAUAUAAAGAAACCUCAAACUCCCUUUCUGGCACAUCACCUUUAAGAGGAACAACCCCCUCCCUCAUAUGCCUUUUGGCUAGCUUUUACGGUUUGCUACUUUCUAGCUCUUAGCUUUACUACCUCUACCGAGAAGCUCUCUCUCGCUUCAGGUUUGCCUAAUCGAAUGAUUCUUUUUCCUCCGCAAACCAACCACUUUUUAUUCCUCACCUGCACCAGGAACUUCUUUCUAUUAAGGAGAUAUCGAUCGAAUAGCCUAAGGCUUAAUCAAGCGUUAACGGCCGCCCUUUUGAGAGUGAAACUACACCAUCAACCUACCUCUACUCUGAUCUCUUUCUAUAACCACCUCCUUCGAAAGAGCCAGUUUUUGCCUCUGUUGGAUUGAUCGGCUGCUAGCUUCUAUUCUCGAUCACCCCUCUCCCUCGCCCACAGCCCAACCAAUUCACAGACGAUGAAAAGAACUCCUCAAAUCCUAAGUACACUAAGUGGGUAAAGACGAACCAGUUGCUCGUUAGCUGGAUCAACGCCCGGAUGGAAAGGAGCUGGUCUUUAAUCAGCUGUGAAUCCUACCGAUGCCGAUACCGAAGGGAUUUCCCAAGUUGACCUUCUUUCUCUUUCGCUUAAACGCGCCAUCCGCGCCAGGCCGACAAGUAUGAGAUAGAUGCUCUCAAAUGCGCAAUUGAAUNNNNN
rnacentral:lncRNA from 1 species